CGCCUAGGAGCAGAGCCCCUGGAGAGGCGUGGGGUCGAACCCGGGGACACACCUGUGGCGCAUUGUCUGACUGAGGCUGGGAGUAUUUAAGAAGCGGCGAGCGACACUUCCUUGCCUGAGUGUUUGUUUACCUUGGUUUACCUGGAUUCCUCCGGAGUUUUCCGAGAGGAGAGUUCUGUGGGUCGUUUGUCCCGGACUCCGACCAGCCGUCAGUUCGCUCCUCCGCUCAGUCUGACUUACCUGUCCGCCCUCCAACGGUUCGUUGCCUCUCCACGCCGCCCCUGGGUCCGUUGUUGCUCCAAAGGAAACAUCCAUCCGCUCCUAUGGCUGAACUGGUUGCCCCUUCCAGACUCCUGCUCCGUGUUUUCUCCCCAACCCUAUUCCCUCUUGUCAA